rnacentral:rRNA from 1 species
CAGCCGCCGCGGUAAUACGUAGGGUGCAAGCGUUAAUCGGAAUUACUGGGCGUAAAGCGUGCGCAGGCGGUGUUGUAAGACUGAUGUGAAAUCCCCGGGCUCAACCUGGGAACUGCAUUGGUGACUGCAACGCUGGAGUGCGGCAGAGGGGGAUGGAAUUCCGCGUGUAGCAGUGAAAUGCGUAGAUAUGCGGAGGAACACCGAUGGCGAAGGCAGCCCCCUGGGCCAAUACUGACGCUCAUGCACGAAAGCGUGGGGAGCAAACAGGAUUAGAUACCCCCGUAGUCCCUGUCUCUUAUAC